rnacentral:rRNA from 1 species
GACGAACGCUGGCGGCGUGCCUAAUACAUGCAAGUCGAACGCAGUGGGGACGGGUGAGUAACACGUGGGUAACCUCCCAUCAGAGGGGAAAACACUUGGACACAGGUGCUAAACCGCUACCGAUGGAUGGACCCGCGGUUCAUUAGCUAGUUGGUGAGGUAACGGCCCACCAGUGCCAAGAUGCAUAGGCGACCUGAGGGGGGGAUCGACCACACUGCGACUGAGACGCGGCCCAGACUCCUACGGGAGGCAGCCGUAGGGAAUCUUCGGCAAUGGGCGAAAGUCUGACCGGUCAACGCGGCGUGUGUGAAUAAGUUUUUAGGAUCGUAAGACUCUGUAGUUAGGGAGGCGGUAUCUAACCAGAAAGCCACGGCUAACUACGUGCCAGCAGCCGCGGUAAUGC